CCUACGGGUGGCUGCAGUGGGGAAUAUUGGACAAUGGGGGGAACCCUGAUCCAGCCAUGCCGCGUGUGAAGAAGGCCCUCGGGUUGUAAAGCACUUUCAGUGAGGAAGAACGCCUGGUGGUUAAUACCCAUCAGGAAAGACAUCACUCACAGAAGAAGCACCGGCUAACUCCGUGCCAGCAGCCGCGGUAAUACGGAGGGUGCGAGCGUUAAUCGGAAUUACUGGGCGUAAAGCGCGCGUAGGUGGCUUGAUAAGCCGGUUGUGAAAGCCCCGGGCUCAACCUGGGAACGGCAUCCGGAACUGUCAAGCUAGAGUGCAGGAGAGGAAGGUAGAAUUCCCGGUGUAGCGGUGAAAUGCGUAGAGAUCGGGAGGAAUACCAGUGGCGAAGGCGGCCUUCUGGACUGACACUGACACUGAGGUGCGAAAGCGUGGGUAGCAAACAGGAUUAGAUACCCCGGUAGUC
rnacentral:rRNA from 1 species